UUAAAUAAAUUAUUCCCUGAGUACCUAUCUAUUUCCAAAGUGAUAUUCCAGCUUUAUUAAAUUUAAUUGAAACUAUUUUAAGACUGUAUGGAAUGCACUUAGGCAGUUAAGAAGCGGAAAUAAUCCGAUAUUCAUAUUCGAAUAAUUAAUCGUUCGUUCUGCCGAUAACUUAUCUACAAAACGUACUGAAUUACUGACGAUUCACGCAGUUCGGUUCGGAUAAAAGACAGACACGACCCACUUGAUGCUGAGUGGCUACCAGUGGCCAAGAACGUCAGCCACUCUAGAAAGAAGCUCGGCCAAACCUGCUGCUCAUCGCUAACGAGAAUUUAAUUAAAAAUAAAUUCAUAGCGCGUACAUUGAUAACUUUAGACUAAAACGACGUGCAACUGAAAAUUCCUCUUACUAGAGAAACUAAAUUACCGUGCAAAAUUAUAAAUAUUGUGGAGCUUAUAAAUUCACUGGUGGUAGGACCUCUUCUGAGUCCGCACGGGUAGGUACCACCACCCCGCCUAUUUCUGUCGUGAAGCAGUAAUGCGUUUCGUUUUGAAGGGUGGGGUAGCCUUUGUAACUAUACGGAGACCUUAGAACUUAUAUCUCAAGGUGGGUGGCGCAUUUACAUUGUAGAUGUCUAUGGGCUCCAGUAACCUCUUAACACCAGGUGGGCUGUGAGCUCGUCCACCCAUCCAAGCAAUAAAAAAAUAAAAAAAUAAAAUUAUCUACUUUAAAAAAAAAACGAUUUGGAUUCGUAUCUAGUUGUUGUCUUUGUGUAUUAGGAAUUUUAAAUCUCGUCUGCAAGUUGUUGAUACAAAAAUAUAUUAUUCAAAAAAUGUUUAAUAGAAAACCAAAUAUAAUUCAGGAUGCUUAGUUUGAAA